rnacentral:rRNA from 1 species
GCCACUGCUAUUGGGGUUCGGCUAAGCCAUGCGAGUGGAGGGCGUCCCGCAAGGGAUGGCCCCGCAGACGGCUCAGUAACAUGUCGUCAACCCACCUUAGGGUGGGGGACAACCUCGGGAAACUGAGGGUAAUCCCCCAUAGGCGGGGGAGGCUGGAAUGCGCCCCCGCUGAAAGCUCAGGCGCCCUAGGACGGGACGGCGGCCUAUCAGGUAGUUGGUGGUGUGACG